AUUGAACGCUGGCGGCAGGCCUAACACAUGCAAGUCGAACGAGUGGCGGACGGGUGAGUAAUGUCUGGGAAACUGCCCGAUGGAGGGGGAUAACUACUGGAAACGGUAGCUAAUACCGCAUACCAUCGGAUGUGCCCAGAUGGGAUUAGCUUGUAGGUGAGGUAACGGCUCACCUAGGCGACGAUCCCUAGCUGGUCUGAGAGGAUGAACAGCGAGACGGGGACGGGGACACGGGCCAGACGCCUACGGGAGGAAGCAGUGGGGAAUAUGGAACAAUGGGCGCAAGCCUGAUGCAGCCAUGACGAGUGUAUGAAGAAGGCCUUCGGGUUGUAAAGUACUUUCAGCGGGGAGGCGUUACCCGCAGAAGAAGCACCGGCUAACCCCGUGCCAGCAGCCGCGGUAAUUC
rnacentral:rRNA from 1 species